AUCAGCAUGCCACGGUGAAUACGUUCCCGGGCCUUGUACACACCGCCCGUCACACCAUGGGAGUUGGUCUUACCCGACGGCGCUGCGCCAACCGCAAGGGGGCAGGCGACCACGGUAGGGUCAGCGACUGGGGUGAAGUCGUAACAAGGUAGCCGUAGGGGAACCUGCGGCUGGAUCACCUCCUUUCUAAGGAUGC
rnacentral:rRNA from 1 species